rnacentral:lncRNA from 1 species
GGGUGUCACAAGUCAUGAGCUACUACAGAGUUUACUAAAAUUCUACAAGGUAUGGAAUAAGGAACGACACCUGAAGAUAUCAUAAAUACAGAAGAUAAGGGAGAAAACGGGUCUGCGAACGCCAUGCAGCUACCUCGAUAACUCCAAUGAAAACUGAACAGCAGAAAACUCGCUCUAUGCCUCAGGAAUACCUGUACCUGCACAUAUGGUGCAGGGAGUAAUGUGAGUACUCCGAACCAGUGAGUAAUAAAUAUAAAUAAUAACUGAGUGUAAGAAAACACGUUAAGGCACACAACACUCUAUACAGAAGUAGUGAAAUCAUUUAAAAUAACAAUUCAGUGAAACAUCAUGUGAAAUUUCUUUAAAACAAGUAAAAACAGGUAAUUUAGCAGUAAAAUGACGAGUAGAAAUCUACCUUUCGGGCUCAAUAUCAAAACAAUAUCAGCCCCUCGGGCUCAGUAUCUCAGAAAAGUAUCAGCCCAUCGGGCUCAGUAUCUCAGAAAAGUAUCAGCCCCUCGGGCUCAGUAUCUCAGAACAGUAUCAGCCUCUCAGGCUCAGAACAGUAUUAAGCAACCAGUCAAUGAAAUAAGAGCACAUAAUUAUUAUGGUGGAUAAUGCAGAUGAGGAAUAAAUGCAUGAGUGCAAUGCAAUGCAUAUGACGGUACCCUCUGGUACCCACUGCGGUGUGUAGCCUGAGCCAUCCAUAUUUAUUUAUCGUCGAUGGCGCUCACUGGGGGUGUGUACAGACUCCGGAGGGGCUCCUACAGCCCAAGCGCAAUAUCAAGCCAUCUCGUGGCAUCAAAUCUAGGCCCUCGACCUCAUAUCAAUAUCAAUAUAAUCACCUAGGCUCUCAGCCUCAAUAUCAAUGUAAUCAACCAGACUCUCGGCCUCAAUAUCAAUGUAAUCAACCAGGAUCUCGGCCUCAAUAUCAAUAUAACACUGCUGCGGCACGCAGCCCGAUCCAUGCUCAGUCCAAAAAUCAUCAUAAGCCCCUUGGGAAUUUGUAAAACAGUAGUUCUCAGCCCGAAAUAUCAUUUAGAAAUAUCAUUUAAGUUUUCAAAUCUUAGAAAGAUGGCUGACUUUGCAAAACAGUAUUUAAAACCUUGGACUGAGGUCAAAUGAUAUGCAAAAUAUGCGAAAGAAGUGAUAUCAAUCCCUGAAGGAUUCAAAUAAUUGGCAAGAAGCCUACAAUUGGAAACAUGAUUGAGGAUAUAAAUUCUUUAAUAAAAUAAGUGAGGAAAACCAGUCAAAAAUCCCUUAAGGUUCUACAGGUCGGCACACGGCCCCAAGCAUGGCAACAAGCCCAAUUCACAAUAAUAAAGUAUACGUCUCAACCAAAAAUAUAGUAAAAUAUCUCUAGGGACGGACCAAGUCACAAUCCCCAACGGUGCUCUACCCCACGCCCGUUAUCCGGCGUGCUAGUCACCUCAAUAUAGCGUUACGAUGUGAAAUUCCGGGGUUUCAAACCCUCAGGACAUCAUUUACAUCAAUUACUCACCUCAAACCGGCUACUUCUUUAGCUCGCGACGCCUUUACCCCUCGAAUUGGCAUCCACGUACGUCGAAUAUGCCCAAAAUCACAACGAAUAUGUCGCA